GCAGCCGAGCUGACCAGGCGCGUGACGAGAGGUGGCGUCACCACGAGGACGACCACCAAGGGCGGGAAGAAGACCAAGACAAAGAAGGAAGGUGAGCUGACCAUGAUGAGAACCGGAAACACCCAAAAUAAGAAAGGUAAAGGAGCAAAAGGAGGCGCAAAAGGCAAAGGAGGU